rnacentral:rRNA from 1 species
AGAACCUGAAACCGUGUGCUUACAAGUAGUCAGAGCCCGUUAAUGGGUGAUGGCGUGCCUUUUGUAGAAUGAACCGGCGAGUUACGAUUUGAUGCAAGGUUAAGCAGUAAAUGUGGAGCCGUAGCGAAAGCGAGUCUGAAUAGGGCGUUUAGUAUUUGGUCGUAGACCCGAAACCAGGUGAUCUACCCUUGGUCAGGUUGAAGUUCAGGUAACACUGAAUGGAGGACCGAACCGACUUACGUUGAAAAGUGAGCGGAUGAACUGAGGGUAGCGGAGAAAUUCCAAUCGAACCUGGAGAUAGCUGGUUCUCUCCGAAAUAGCUUUAGGGCUAGCCUCAAGUGAUGAUUAUUGGAGGUAGAGCACUGUUUGGACGAGGGGCCCCUCUCGGGUUACCGAAUUCAGACAAACUCCGAAUGCCAAUUAAUUUAACUUGGGAGUCAGAACAUGGGUGAUAAGGUCCGUGUUCGAAAGGGAAACAGCCCAGACCACCAGCUAAGGUCCCAAAAUAUAUGUUAAGUGGAAAAGGAUGUGGCGUUGCCCAGACAACUAGGAUGUUGGCUUAGAAGCAGCCAUCAUUUAAAGAGUGCGUAAUAGCUCACUAGUCGAGUGACACUGCGCCGAAAAUGUACCGGGGCUAAACAUAUUACCGAAGCUGUGGAUUGUCCUUUGGACAAUGGUAGGAGAGCGUUCUAAGGGCGUUGAAGCAUGAUCGCAAGGACAUGUGGAGCGCUUAGAAGUGAGAAUGCCGGUGUGAGUAGCGAAAGACGGGUGAGAAUCCCGUCCACCGAUUGACUAAGGUUUCCAGAGGAAGGCUCGUCCGCUCUGGGUUAGUCGGGUCCUAAGCUGAGGCCGACAGGCGUAGGCGAUGGAUAACAGGUUGAUAUUCCUGUACCACCUAUAAUCGUUUUAAUCGAUGGGGGGACGCAGUAGGAUAGGCGAAGCGUGCGAUUGGAUUGCACGUCUAAGCAGUAAGGCUGAGUAUUAGGCAAAUCCGGUACUCGUUAAGGCUGAGCUGUGAUGGGGAGAAGACAUUGUGU